CCUACGGGUGGCAGCAGUGAGGAAUAUUGGUCAAUGGCCGGAAGGCUGAACCAGCCAAGCCGCGUGAAGGACGAAGGUGCCAAGCAUUGUAAACUUCUUUUGUCAAGGGAUAAAAUCCGUCUCGUGAGCCUGAACGAGGGUACUUGAAGAAAAAGCAUCGGCUACCUCCGUGCCAGCAGCCGCGGUAAUACGGAGGAUGCUAGCGUUAUCCGGAUUUAUUGGGUUUAAAGGGUGCGUAGGCGGACUGUUACGUCAGCGGUAAAAGCCCGGGGCUCAACCCCGGCGAGCCGUUGGAACUGGCUGUCUUGAGAUGUCGAGAGGUAUGCGGAAUGCGCGGUGUAGCGGUGAAAGGCUUAGAUAUUGCGCAGAACUCCGAUUGCGAAGGCAGCAUACCGGCGGCGAUCUGACGCUGAGGCACGAAAGCGUGGGUAUCGAACAGGAGUAGAUACCCUAGUAGUC
rnacentral:rRNA from 1 species